GUGCUUGCUUCAGCAGCACAUAUAAUAAAAUUGAAACAAAACAGAGAAGAUUAGCAUCACCCCUGCACAAAGAUGAUACACAAAUUCGCGAAGGGUUCCACAUUUUU